CUCGGGCAGGUGCCGCCGCAGCCCGCUCAAAUCCUGCCGCGUUUCUACCACGAGAACGUCAUCGACCACUUCAAUAACCCACGCAACGUCGGGUCCUUCGACAAGAAUGACCCGACGGUCGGAACGGGGCUCGUCGGUGCACCAGCCUGUGGAGAUGUGAUGAAGCUGCAGAUUAAGGUUGAUGAGAAGACUGGAGAGAUUGUUGAUGCUCGCUUUAAGACUUUUGGUUGUGGCUCUGCUAUUGCCUCCUCUUCUGUUGGUAUGUUUUUAUGCCUGGUUUUAUUGAAGGGGAUUGUUGGUUGGCUAGAAAUCAGGGAGGGAAUGGAAAUUGACGGAAAAAUCAAUUCUAAUCACCGAAGAGUUGUUUAAUUGUUAGCUAGUGUAUUAAUUUAGCGAUACAAAUAAAAUUAGGAACAGAAAUUUGAGGUUCCGAUUUGGGUUAUGAGUAGCAUGAAUUUGAUUUAUUCAGGGGACCUAAAUAUAAUUUAUUGUCUUUUUUUUUUUUUCCCUAUAUUCAGCUACUGAAUGGGUGAAAGGAAAGCAAAUGGAAGAAGUUUUAUCCAUAAAAAACACGUGAGUUGAUUGCUUUCCUUUUAUUUGUUUUAUGCUCUUGUUCUUUGCUGCUGUUUACCUGGGCGUGUGUUUUAAUCUAUUGAUUAAUUGCUUUCAAUGAAUGAAAAUUCUGUGUUUGGAAAUAAUGCUUGUAAAUGAAUGCUUCUAGUUUUGUUGCAUGUCUUGCAUUUCUCCAGCUCUGGGCUGACGCUUAUUAGGUUAUCAUGUAUGCAGAGCCAAUUUAAAUAAUCUUUCUAGGUUAGUUUUAAAUUUUUUUCCCCCUAUCAUUUGAUGGGUCAUAGUCUAAAUGGUUGAGUUAAUUUUCUCAUAGACUUUCCUGUAAGUCCAGAAAUCUAGCCGGUUGAGUACAUUUAUGCCAGAUGAGCUUGUAACCUUUCUCAAACGCAAUUUCAUCUGAUAUCAACUAAAGAACUUGAUUGUGACUUUAUGAUGAGCCAUGAAAGUAAGAUAAGGCACCAGAUAUUUUAAAUUUGCCUGCUAGAUGGAUCUGACUAUUGGAUUGGCAAAUGUUAUGCUGAUAACUGAGUAGGUGAAUGGAAGUAACAAUUGCAGUAAGCUUCCAUCUGAUUCCAUCUAUGUUUUUGUUGGUUUUAAAGGGUGUAUUGGAUAUAGAGUCAGCCUACACUAGUAGACUAGUCUUUCUAAUUGGGUUUGGAUGAUAUAGUCCUUAAAGUAGCAUCAGUAUCAUAUGCUAAGAAUUCUAAAAGAACAUGUAUUACAAAAGAAAAAAAAAAAAAAAGGAGAGAGAUUGUCAACCACAGCUUUUGAAUCGCAUAUAUCAUGGAUUUGAAGAAAGGUGUGGAUGUUUUGAAGAUUAGAGAGUGAGAUUCUUUGUAACCAUGGGAUACAAGUGUCAUAUAGCGCCUAAGUAGUUUUUAUUUUAACUUUUUGGUCGCACCUUUGAAGUAAUUCUUGAAUUUACUAGUGGACAACAACUAGAAUUAUUCUCAGCCACUACACAUACUUAUUUUGCUUUCUGUUCUCUUUGAGGUCUUUUUCCGUUGGAUACAUGACACAGAUGUGUGACUAGUUUUGUGCUGGUUAUCAACCUACCAUGUAGGUGUCAAAUGCCAAGAUGGAGUUCAAUAUCCCCCACCCACCAAUAUGUCUUGAAGAUGUAGCAUGUAUUCCUUCCUGUAGGUGUUGCCUGGGUCCUAAUUGUGACACUGCCCAUAUUUAGUUGUGGGAAACUUAAUAUUCGUUGUCAUUGAGCUAUAUUGUAUUUUAUUUUUCUCUGUGUAAGGUUUUUACCAUCUCCAUGCAUAUUUGUUUUUUUGGUUAAGUUUUUUACUUUAUCUAAGAAAAGGUUUUCUCAUCAUAUAUCCUGAGUUUUCUUAUAUCAACAAAUUCUCCAUGGAUGACUACAUCUGCUCCGACACCUAACAAUUCCAUGUAUGAUUGUAGAAAUCCACAAGCAAAAUUCUUCAGCACAAUGAUAUGGUUUUAGUAAGCACACAGGUCUAUAUGUAACAGACUAAGGAAUGACAUGGUGGUGAAGCAAUGAUAACUGCACAAGGAAGUUGAGUGGAGGAGAUUUUGGUGACUUGAGAACCAUGCUAUUCUCUAACCAAGCUUAUAUGCCCUUUGCUUUUUAUUCUCUAACCAAGCUUAUAUGCCCUUUGCUUUUUGUUCUCUAACCAAGCUUAUAUGCCCCUUUGCUUUUAGUCUAAGCUUUAAGUAAUUUCUCCUUCAUUGAAGAUCUUAUCUUAGCUGUUUAAGAUAUUUGAGCUGUCUGUUCUCAAAAUGUAUGAAUGAUAACAGAUGGGUGUCAAUGGCAUGAAUUCAAAUAGUUUGCAGAGAUGGAAUAUUGAAGAAAAUAAUUUUUAUUGGCUGGUAAUGGAGAGAUUUUCAGAUUGUACAUCUUUCAUGCCACAAAUUCGUAAAUUACACUAUCUAGUUGGAUUGAAAAGAUUAACGAAAGAAAAAGCAAAUGAUGUGCAUGGUAGAGAUCCAUGCUAUUCUCUGACCAAGUGUAUAUGCCCCUUGAGUUUUGGUUUUAGCUUUAAGUAAUCUCUCCUUUGUGGAAGAUAUUAAUCUUAGCUGUUCAAUAUAUUUGAGCUGUCUGCGUUCUAAAGGCUAUGAAUGAUAAGGGAUGGGUAUCAAUGGCAUGAAUUUAAAUAGUUCGAGGGAUGUAGGAUCAACGGAGUAAUUUUUUAUUGGCACAAAUUUGAAAAUGGCACUAUGUAGUUGGAUUGAAGAGAUCAAUGAAAGAAGAAGCAAAUGAUAUGAUAUGCAUAGUAAAGAUAAUUCUUUUCUGUGUAAUGACCAAAGUUGUGCGUUGUUUGGCUGUUAUGAUAUUGUAAGACUUCUUAUAUUGUAGCAUGCAAUAUCUAAUGCCAUUUUAUUUUUAAAUUUAUUGCAGGGAGAUUGCAAAGCAUCUUUCUCUUCCACCAGUGAAGCUUCACUGCAGCAUGCUUGCAGAGGAUGCCAUCAAGGCAGCUGUGAA
rnacentral:lncRNA from 1 species